AGGACUCUGUAUAGCUCCAAAGCUUGACACUUUCACCAACAGAAGUUGGUCCAAUAAAAGAUAUUACCUCACCCACCUUGUCUCUCUAAUAUCUGG